rnacentral:rRNA from 1 species
GUGUCAGCAGCCGCGGUAAUACGUAGGAGACGAGUGUUAUCCGGAUUUACUGGGCGUAAAGAGGGCGUAGGCGGUCUUUCAAGUCGGAUGUGAAAUCUCCCGGCUUAACUGGGAGGGGUCAUUCGAUACUGUUGGGCUAGAGGGCUGCAGAGGGAGGUGGAAUUCCCGGUGUAGUGGUGAAAUGCGUAGAUAUCGGGAGGAACACCAGUGGCGAAGGCGGCCUCCUGGGCUGUUUCUGACGCUGAGGCCCAAAAGCGUGGGGAGCGAACAGGAUUAGAUACCCUGGUAGUCCACGCUGUAUACUAUGGACACUAGGUAUGGGGAGUAUCGACCCUCUCCGUGCCGAAGCUAACGCUUUAAGUGUCCCGCCUGGUGACUACGGCCGCAAGGCUAACACUCAAAUGAAUUGGCGGGG